rnacentral:hammerhead_ribozyme from 1 species
AUAUUGCCUGACAAGUCCAAAAUAGGACGAAACGCGCGUCCUGUAU